GGUAAAGAGCUAUGGCGUGUAUCUCCGUAAAAAGAAAGUGCGCUAUGGUUUCGUGUGCCCACCCGAGGAUUGGGCGGCGACUCAUGUGGUUGUGGGUGAAAUGAACCUUCAACACACCUAUUACUACUGGGUGCGAGAGCAGGAGGACCCAGAUGAUGUGCAAUAAGACAAGGCCCCCGCCCCUGGGGGGCGCAGCCGUGAAAAAAUUUUUGCAAUAAGCGACAGCUUGACAGGACUAUCAGGGCCACCAUCCGUUGAGGAAGGCCUUGACGUGUUAAAUACAUCCGGAAGAAUAAGCAGGGGGAAACUGGGGUGUCCCCCGCCGGGUUAAUACGAGGUCUGAGAGGGGUUUGGAUGUUUUUUGUGCAAAAAGUAUGUAUACGGGGCCGGCUUUCUUCCGGGAAAUAUCCAAGCUCUUAUUUUUGGGAUUGGGGGGGAUAUUACUGGGUUGGGGGACGAAAGAGGCAGAGGGUAUUUCCGGGGUAGGGGUGAAUUCUUUUAAUCCCGGGAGGCCCCCCAGUGGCGAUGUCUGUUACCAAAAAGGCUCCGGACGCUGAGGGAUGAAAGUGGGGGGAGCGAACGGGUUUAGAUACCCGGGUAGUCCCAGCGUUAAACAAUGCAGACUAGGUGUUUGCAUGGCCACGCCCUGUUCUAGUGCCGCAGGGAAGCGGUUAAGUCUCCCCCUUGGGGAGUACGAUCCCAAGAUUGAAAUUAAAAGGAAUGGGGGGGGGACCACCCCAAGGGGUGAACCUUGCGGUUUAAUUGGAUUAAACCCGGAAAUCACUAGUGAAU
rnacentral:rRNA from 1 species